AUGUUCAAAAUAACAUCAACUUAACUUACUGAUGGUGUUCCCAACAUUGAGCCUCUACUGUACCAGUCGGAAUGAAACGGAGUGAAUCGAUAAGUUUUGACAAUUUGAAUGUAAAUAAACCGGUGAAGAAAAUAUUCAGAGAAAGCUGCUGUAUUGAUGGAGAUACGAAUUUUAUCACCUAUUGCUGAUAAAUGCACGCCAACGAUUACUACAAGGGUUGUUCGCGGUCAGAAAGAGGAGCUGGAAGGAGAAUUGCUCGUAGUGAAUGGAAUGUGUUUUUGGAGACAAUCCCUUCCGCUGCACUCUGGGGGCCAAACGAUUUUCUGCAAAUGGC